rnacentral:rRNA from 1 species
CCUACGGGCGGCAGCAGUGGGGAAUAUUGGACAAUGGGGGGAACCCUGAUCCAGCCAUGCCGCGUGUGUGAAGAAGGCCCUCGGGUUGUAAAGCACUUUCAGUGAGGAAGAACGCCUGGUGGUUAAUACCCAUCAGGAAAGACAUCACUCACAGAAGAAGCACCGGCUAACUCCGUGCCAGCAGCCGCGGUAAUACGGAGGGUGCGAGCGUUAAUCGGAAUUACUGGGCGUAAAGCGCGCGUAGGUGGCUUGAUAAGCCGGUUGUGAAAGCCCCGGGCUCAACCUGGGAACGGCAUCCGGAACUGUCAAGCUAGAGUGCAGGAGAGGAAGGUAGAAUUCCCGGUGUAGUGGUGAAAUGCGUAGAGAUCGGGAGGAAUACCAGUGGCGAAGGCGGCCUUCUGGACUGACACUGACACUGAGGUGCGAAAGCGUGGGUAGCAAACAGGAUUAGAUACCCGAGUAGUC